AAAAACACUUAUGUAUAUAUAAAAUUAUAUACAAUAUAUAUAGAUAUAUAUAUAUCUCUUUUAUUAAAAAAAAAUAAUGAUGUAAAAUAUUAUUUUUGGAUAACACAAUAUAAAUUAUUUUUAUAUAAUGAUAAUUACCAAAUAAAAAAUCAUUUUAAUUUACGAUAGUAUAUUAACAAAUCUAAUUAUUUAUUUAAGAUAUGAAGACUUUAGAACACAAUAUAAAUUAGUUUUAGACAAUGAUAAUUAUCUGUAUGGAUAGCCUAGCACGUAGUGUCAGGAAGCAGCCGUCUUUCGUCGUUCACAUGGAUAGACAUCUCCCAGUUUGGUUCACAGAGUCUGUAUAAGUCUGUUUAUGCUGAUGACAAAAAAAAAAAAAGACAAUGAUAAUUAUCAAAUCAAUAAAAUUUCAUUUUAAUUAAUUGUUAAUUAUAUACUAACAAAUUUAUUUAUUUAUUAAGGAUAAUAAAUCUUUUAGUUGCUUUAACUUUAAGUAUGAGAGUUCUGAGGAAAAAAUUACUUUACAAAUUAUAAUAUAGAUUAUUAAAAUAAAUAUAAAUUAAUUAUUUGAAUAAAGUUUAAUUGUACCAAACAAUCCGCGCGUAGCGCGGAUAAAAGAUCUAGUAUAACUAAAUAAAGCACUAACUCCUCUUACACUUCAAUGGGAAUUCCAAUAUCCCCUCUUUCAGUUUUACCCUAAAAACUCUUCUCAGGGAAAAUUAAAGCCGUCCCUCAUUUUUAAUAACUUUUCAUGAUUUCAAAGAAGACAUCACAUGUGGCUAAUCUUAUGUUCUAGAUGCGGCUUUUGGAGAUGGUGAUAAUGACAAUAAGAGCUCCGUAAUACGCCGGUUAAUUAAUCGGGAUCUUGUAAGACACAACAAUUUCUAUUGACAAGGGAACUAUGGAGAUAACAAGACAUGCUUUGAUAAAUCUCUACAAUUGUUUUCAUCUGCUUUUGGGAUCUCCUUUGUUUAGUUUGUUUUUUUUUUCUGCUAUGAAUUUAGUCUUUUUUGUCAAUAUUUAUGAUGAUUAAUAAAAUUGGAUUAUGUUGUAAGUUUCUAUGUAUCUCGAUUAUAUAUUUCUGAAAACUUUCAUAAUAAUAAAAAAUAGCUAAAAUGUUGUGAAACUCUAAACUAUUUUCACUAUUAGUGCUUAUUUAGCUAACAAGGAAGGCUAAGAAUAUAAGUGAGCUGUGACCAUACUUCAGUACAAAAUAAUUACAGUUUAUAGACGAGAAAGUAGUAGCUGUUUAGGACAAAAAUGUGACUGGAGUUUAGUAAUAACCAAUUGACGGAACUAAAAAUUUUAAUAGUCAAAUAAUUUGAUGGAUGUGAGUGUAACGGAUUGGUGAUGACCUUGUAGUCUCUAUUUGUGACAGUAUGUUACUGAACUUUCGUUGUAAUCAGCUACGGAACUGGGACAUUCUUAUCGUCACCAAAGUAGACCAUUUUUAGACGAUGUUUUCGUCAAUAAUUGUAACGGUAUUGUUACUUUAAUUUUCGUCACUGCUACUGACAAACUAGUUACAAAAUAAUUUUGUCACAAAUUAUGACGUUUUUUUGUUACGGUGAAAAUUUGUGACGUCCUUAUUGUAACUGUUCAUAACCUGUCACAAUUCUGUCACAAUAAUUAUAUUGCUACGAAAUUGUGUUCAUUGCGACCAAAAAAAUUGUCACAAUAUAAUUAUUUUCUUGUAGUGAGGCUUCUAUAGGAUUAUAAUCCCAAGUUUCCUGAAUAAAAACCCUUAGUCUAACUAUUUCAUUUUUAAGCACCAAAAUCUCAAUCAACCUAUUGAACAAAUACUUGUUCAAUAUAAAACUGCAAUUUACAUUUAAAAUCUCUGAAACCAUCUAGCUUAACAAAUCGUAUUAGAUUUCUUAGGUUCCCUAGCUCCUUGUGAAUUCGAUCCCUAAGUACUACAACUCGACCUCUUAAUUGAGAGAGUAUAAAUCACUCCUUAGGGUAAUUUGAGUGGUAUCAUGGAUUUGAUCCCUAAGUACUAUAACUGAACCUACAACUGAACCUCUUAUUUGAAAGAAUAAAAGUCACUCCUUAGGAUAAUUUGAGUGAUAUCAGUUUUCCUCAGGUUGGAUAUCGACUUCGUCGAUAUCAUCAUUCUGAGAAUUGAUUAAGUUUACGGCAAUUGGUGGUCUGUUGCUUGGGUGCUCUAUGAAUUCGACGGGAAUUACUCGCAUAAGGCCUGGAUUCGAACUUGAUGCCAAGACCGCUAAAGCAUCGGCCAGCGCAUUUUCCACGCGGGGGAUUCGCGUGGGAGCGAACUGAUCAAAGUCUUGGGUGAGAUCAUGGAAGAUUUUCAGGUACUUUUAUUUAUUAUUUAAGCAUAAAAGUUAUAUUUUGAAGUUUUUCUCUGUUUUAUACAUUUUAUUGUUUUUAAUAUGAAGGUUUUUCAGAUUUGAGUCAGAAUUUGAAUUUCAUUAGCAGACUUCUUGGAAGAUUUCUAGGAAGAAUUCGCGUGAAUUAAGCGAAAAAUUAAAAUUUAAGCGGAAACUUAAAUUUUUAGAAAUAUUUUACCGCAAAUUAGAAGACUUCUAAUUCACAGUCAAAUUUCAUUGAAAUUUUUUGUUCUCAUUCAUGGUUAGGAGACUGUUGUUUUGAUAGUUUAUAUAAUAUUGUAAAUAAUAUAUUCAUUUUGUCUCUAGUCUUUUAAAAAUUAUUUGUUUAAUGCUUAAUUAAUUCACUUAAGUUCUUGUAAUCAUAAAUUAUUCUUGAUCGUAAUUUUUUUGUUAUGAUUAUGGUUGUGCAAAUUAAAAGGGAGGCUUAUAAUAAUAUAACAGUUGAUUCAAUUUAAAACAUAACAAACAUAAAAAUACAUUCUUAACACAAUAAUAUAAGUUCUAAAACAUAACAAACAUAACAAUAAGUUCAGAACAUUGUAUAUGGAUAUAUGAUAUAAGACUUUGAAGUUACUUAAAUCUCAUGAAAGCUAAACAUCAUAUCUUAUGAUCUAAGAAGACAUAUUAAACCACAUUGUAGAUCCUACAAUCUACACUAAGAAUUCGAUAGUGAUCGAGAGUUUAAUCAGCAGAAGAUAAAUGAUGUAGGCAACAAUAUCUUUAGAACACAAAGAUAUAAUCAGUUUCCGGUAGGCAAAAAUGGACCUUAUUAAUGAAUAAGAUCGGAUACAAUGAGUGAAACAAGAUCGAAUGUUACAAUGAGACCGCUUAAGAGAAAAGAUCUAAAGAUGGAUGAAAACAAGGUCGAAGUGUGGGUGUAGCUCUCUCUAGAGUUUUCAAUGUGUCUCUUCCUUAUGCGUACACUUCUUCUUAUAACAUGCUCCUCUCGUGAUGUUUGCAACUGCUCCACGAUCUCAGCAGUCGUUCGGCGAUCUCUGGAUCUUCGAAGUCUCAGUUUGGAACUCGAGUGCUCGCUGUGGGCUUCAACUCUUUGCGGCCCAUUCAGUUGAUCGUGGCCCAUUUACACAUUGACCGAAAUUGGAUCCAACACACAUGACUUUCUUGAAGCUACUUAACAAUUUUGAAAGUUAAUAAAAAAAAUCUUGAAAUUACUUAAAACUCGUAAAAAUACAAGUUUUACAACUAACAGAAAAGUCUUCUUCCCCGCAAAUUUCUUAAGAAAUCUUCUCUCAUUAGCUAGAAACAUUAAUAAACAUGAAUGUUUGUAACCAAAUAAUUAUCACCAAUUAAGUUAUAAAUCUCAUUGAGUAUCCCUAAUUGACUAAUACACGUGAAAUAACAAGAAAAUCUUAAAAAUUCAUUUUAAAUUAUGAGAAAUGAAAAUUUAAUAAACAUUGGCGUAAAAGACUUCCACAGAAGUAUCCCAA